GGCCACAUCAUGAAAUACUGGUUCCCAUAUGAUUAAUGAAGGUAAGCAAUGUUGAGCCUGGUCAGUAUGUAGAUGGGUGACUGCUUGGGAAUACCAGGUGCUGUAAG